rnacentral:rRNA from 2 species
UGCAGUCGAACGGCAGCACGGGGGCAACCCUGGUGGCGAGUGGCGAACGGGUGAGUAAUACAUCGGAACGUGUCCUGGAGUGGGGGAUAGCCCGGCGAAAGCCGGAUUAAUACCGCAUACGCUCUGAGGAGGAAAGGGGGGGAUCUUCGGACCUCUCGCUCAAGGGGCGGCCGAUGGCAGAUUAGCUAGUUGGUGGGGUAAAGGCCUACCAAGGCGACGAUCUGUAGCUGGUCUGAGAGGACGACCAGCCACACUGGGACUGAGACACGGCCCAGACUCCUACGGGAGGCAGCAGUGGGGAAUUUUGGACAAUGGGGGCAACCCUGAUCCAGCAAUGCCGCGUGUGUGAAGAAGGCCUUCGGGUUGUAAAGCACUUUUGUCCGGAAAGAAAACCUGUGCCCUAAUACGGCGUGGGGAUGACGGUACCGGAAGAAUAAGCACCGGCUAACU